ACACACGUCGGCACAGAAUCCUGUAGUGAACGUUCACAGCAGCAUCGUUCGUCACACCCCCAAAGGGGAAAGAACCAAAAUACCCGUCGACUGAUGAACAGCUACACACGGUGUGUCCCCCACGCGUGGGGACGCGAUCAGCCAGGAGCCGGAGCGAGGCGCCCACCCCCGCUGCCCCAAGGACGGACCCCGAACACGCGACGCUCAGGGAGGGAACCAGACACGAGAGGCCACGCGGGGUGUGAGUCCGCGUGGGUGAGACGUCCAGAACGGGCCCAUCCGGGGACAGGAAGGGGGCUGGUGGGGGCCGGGGGAGGGGGAGGGACAGUGACUGCUUCACAUACAGGUUUACGUUAUAGGAGGAGUUUCUUUCUGGGGGGAUAAAACGCCCUAGAAUCAGAUGGUUGCAUAGCUCUGCAUACAUACUAAAAAAUCACUGUACUUGGGCGCCUGGGUGGCUCAGGCGGUUAAGUGUCUGACUUCUGCUCAGGUCACGAUCUCAGGCCUCAUGGGUUCGAGCCCCGCGUCAGGCUCUGUGCUGACGGCUCGGAGCCUGGAGCCUGCUUCGGACUCUGAGUCGCCCCUUCUCUCAGCCACUCCCCCACUUGUGCUCUCUCUCAAAAGGACGAAUGGACCUGCCAGACCACAGGGAACCGGUCUGCUUUCUCUCAAGGAUUCUAAUCUCCCUGAACGCCCCAGGCCUUUUGGAAGAAGGAACCAGGAGUCUAAGUUCAUGUCUCCCCCUCCGCCAGAGGCCCUUUUCAGUCGUGGCGCUCAGUUUCUUCAUGAAGCUACAAAAUGGGCUGACCAAGGGAGAGGGCAGGUCAGGAUGACCGCAGCGAGGGACCACUGAAGGUUAAUCUAACCGCACGGAACGAGGUACGCACACAGAACAUGCCACACUGAGCUGGGUACAAAGAGAUGGCCACGUUUUGGAGAUCUGGCCGUCUUCCGACAAAGCACAAGCUUUAAAGGUAAAAGCAACGCCUUCGGAGACACAGAGCAGAUCGUUUCCGAACCCGUCCACGAAGGCCUGGCCCACCGGGCCCCGGCAAGCGACAAACUAACCCAGACCAAGGCCGACACACCUUUUCUGUACAGGAUCACACGGUAAAUAUUCCCACCUACAUUCUCGAGCUCGACUCUCUAUUCUCAGGCUCGAGCCGACAGAGGCGAUCUGUCCAGGCACGCCGCACUCUGUGUGCCGAUAAAACUUUACUUGCAAAAACAGGCAGGGGGGCCAGAUCGGUCCACCGACCAGUUAGCUGACCCCACCCCCAGAUGCCUGAAGCCUACCCCUUAAGCAACAAAACCUUUUCUUCACCUCUCCUACAGGGGACCUGAGUUCCACUGCCCACCUCCCUGAUUUCCCAAAUCACGACAGAGCAGAAAAAGCCACACUCCGGCCCACGCUUGGCCCAAUUAGCUACACGGCCUUGGAGCCCAACACUGAACACGAGGUAGCCAUUCUCGGGGCACCAGGGAAAGCCACCGUGGGAUGGCCAGGAGCACACAGGGCUGUUCGCCCCACACUGGCCAACCCCCUGCCGCCGGUCACCCCUCACAGGCCACACACGCUCUGUAGAUGUGAGCCGGGAGGUGAUGAGGUUGUUCGAUCUCUUACGAGCCCACCAUUGGCCCACCAUCUGAGGCCACCUCUUUAAAACCCUCUGUCCCGGGUUUAUUAGGAAAGUACAGGAGGAGGCAGAAUGCCCGGAGUGAACACCCGCAGCAGCUGGGCAAUGCGAUUCUUUUCGAGGGCGUGCUUUCGGGUGAACGUGCCCCUGGAUGAGCCAGGUCCUGAUCCACACGACGCAGAUGGGGCAGCUCAAGCGGGGCGAUGCCCGCGUCCCCCGAAAUGCGCCAUGGCGAGGCGCAGCACUGUCACUCCGACGCCGAAGGACGGGAGCGCGAACGGGAGCGCCGCACUAGAGGAGGAGCGGCCACCAGAGCCACCCCGAGGGUUCUGGGCUCCUCUGUGCAAAGGCUCCCGGGCCCCGGACACCCCUGAACUCAGGGCCCAACAGCAGCCGCCUUCUCCCAGCAGCGUGCGUGCGGGCCUGACGGGCUGCCCCGGGGGGAGCCGCGGCCUUCAGUGCCUCGCUCUCCUGUGGCCACCCGGGCCUGGGGCCUGAGCACUUACUUC